AAUUAAGUACUAAUACAUAUUACUAAGUUCACUGUGCAAGCUAUGAAUCCGAACCUGCACGCAUGAGGACGGGUGGCUAUUGUUGCUAUCCACACCGGUAAACGAUUCUGUAAGUAAUCUACUACUGAUACAUGUUACAAAGUUCACUGUGCAAGCUAUGACUUCGAACCUGCACGCAUGAGUACGGGUGACUAUUGUUGCUAUCCACACCCGUAAACGAUUCUGAUUUAUAGACGACAAACAGCCAUAACUUAUUAGCAGCAACUAAAAUGUGUUUGUAUUGGUACAAGGGAUUAUCAUCAUGUAUUGUUUUAUAAUCAUCAACUUUUGUUUUUUAUAAAUAAAAUAUGAAAAACGUCA